CCCUAGACCGGACAGCAGUGGCAUCCUUUUGUGGCGGGGUUCGCCAUAAAAGAUAUAGCGAAUGGCCGGAUUAAGC
rnacentral:sRNA from 1 species